rnacentral:rRNA from 1 species
AGUGAACGCUGGCGGUAGGCCUAACACAUGCAAGUCGAACGGCAGCACAGUAAGAGCUUGCUCUUACGGGUGGCGAGUGGCGGACGGGUGAGGAAUACAUCGGAAUCUACUUUUUCGUGGGGGAUAACGUAGGGAAACUUACGCUAAUACCGCAUACGACCUACGGGUGAAAGCAGGGGAUCCUCGGACCUUGCGCGAUUGAAUGAGCCGAUGUCGGAUUAGCUAGUUGGCGGGGUAAAGGCCCACCAAGGCGACGAUCCGUAGCUGGUCUGAGAGGAUGAUCAGCCACACUGGAACUGAGACCCGGUCCAGACUCCUACGGGAGGCAGCAGUGGGGAAUAUUGGACAAUGGGCGCAAGCCUGAUCCAGCCAUACCGCGUGGGUGAAGAAGGCCUUCGGGUUGUAAAGCCCUUUUGUUGGGAAAGAAAAGCAGCAGGUUAAUACCCCGCUGUUCUGACGGUACCCAAAGAAUAAGCACCGGCUAACUUCG